UAACUGCGAUAAUUAUCAUGAAUUGCAGAUUCCCGGGAGCUGACAAGUUUUGAAUGCACAUUGCGACUCACGCUUGCCGUUGAGUCCCAUAAGGCACAGUGACGCUUCAAAAUAUAAUAAUACACCUUGUGUGUAUUGAUUUGAGGUUGUUGUUUUACUACGACUGCCUUUAAAUUCAGGGUUGAUUCUAUCAUUGCUGUUUGGUUAAGUUCCUCUGGGAAUGGUCCUGUGCUUUGAUUAGAAUCUUCUCGCCUUCGGGCACAAUGAAGACUUUGUCUUCCCUAACGUCCUGUGCUUUGUGAGAUCACCCGCUGAACUUAA
rnacentral:misc_RNA from 1 species